GCAGCACAAGCCUCAAGUUUCAAUCCAAAAAUAUUUAGAUCACCUCUCAAAAGAAUAAAACAAAGAUAUGUGAACAAAAUGCAAUCCGUAUAAAUCACCCGCCGCGAUAUUUCAGUCACUAAAAACACUUCUAAAACGUUUAAAAUGCCUUUAAAACAGUGAUAUUAAAAAUAUGAAAUUAGUACACCUUAUUGACGAUGCAUGCUUUAUACAGGCAAGAAAAAGAGCCCGGAAUAUGAACACAAUUCAAUGCAAUGGUUUUCUAUGGAAAAAUAUUUAAUAUUAUACAUGUGAUUGCGUUUAUAUUCUGGGUUCAUCUGCUUGCCUGUGCAGAGUAUGCAUCAUUAAUAAGGUGUAUACUGAAUUUGGCCUUUAAAUAUCACUGUCUUACUACAUUACCACCUAACGUUAAUGCAAACCUCGUUAAAAUAACUGGUGGUCAGUGGAGGAAAGCCUUGUUUUGGCCUCCAUGUGGGCGUUCCUGUAAGGGUGUGACGUCAUGUGAAAACUAUGAAUUGCUACUCAAAAUUAGUUUCAAGGGGGGUCCCCGUUAAAAAUCAUGUUCUGGGGGGGGUAAAAUACAAGUUUUUGGGCGGGGUCCCCCUGGUAAAAUUUGCAUGCCAGAAGCUAAAUAUCACAAAUAUCACAAUAUUGGGGUUCCUUCAAAUCGCGGAUAUGAAAAACAACACACGGCAGCAGAGUUAAAGUAUCCCAGUUCCGCGGGAAAAACUGUGGAGACUGAUCAUAAUCGUUAUCUGUGAACUGUAAAGCCCCGCCUCCUUUGAUUUGAUUGGCCAUCUCAAUCAUUUCGACAUUGAAGAGCUGUUAAAGCUGAGGCAGACCAUCCUAAAAUGUAACUUUUAAAACUUUUUAACUAUUGCCCAUUUCUCAAUGUCUAUAGCGGUUACCUGAGUCCAUGUGUAAGAAUUAGACGUCAUAGGUGUGUUUUGUGUUUUGGCAGCUUAAUUAAGACACAUACUCUCGCAUGAGAGAGUUUCUGGGUAGUAAUUUGCCAGCAGCACUUGGCAGGUGUUUCUGCAGUCCUCGGCUCUCAGCAGGUGAAGGCGGCUGCAGCAGGUGUUCAUUCAGAGGGUGGAGAGAAGCCGUGAUUAAUGCCGCGGUGCCCUUUACUGUUUCAGAGCGGCAGGGCGGCAUUAGCAUUCUACACAUGAAGAGCAGUGUCUGGCAGGAAAACAGCAGAACACACAUUUACUCAAUCUGUUCACACACACACACACACACACACACACACGUGCACACUGCAGUUCUGCAGUGCUUGUUUGCAUGCAUGCUCCAUUUGCAUUCAUUUUUUC
ensembl:lncRNA